AUUGAACGCUGGCGGCAGGCCUAACACAUGCAAGUCGAGCGAGCGGCGGACGGGUGAGUAAUGUAUGGGGACUGCCCGCUAGAGGGGGAUAACUACUGGAAACGGUGGCUAAUACCGCAUACUAUCGGAUAACCCAUCGGGGGUUAGCUAGUAGGUGGGGUAAAGGGUCAACUAGGCGAGGAUCUCUAGCUGGUCUGGGAGGAUGGUAGCCGACACUGGGGCGGGUACACGGCCCAGGGUCCUACGGAGGGAGCAGUGGGGAAGAUGGCGCAAUGGUGGCAAGCCUGAUGCAGCCAGGCCGAGUGUAUUGAGAAGGCGUUAGGGUUGUAAAGUACUUUCAGCGGUGAGACGGUACCCGCAGAAGAAGCACCGGCUAACUCCGUGCCAGCAGCCGCGGUAAUUC
rnacentral:rRNA from 1 species